rnacentral:lncRNA from 1 species
UGCCUGAGAAGCAGCAAGUCUCUAAUAGAUUGGAGAUAUGUUUUUUCUUCUAACAUCAACAUUUGAGGCAAAAAGUGGACAGUUGUGUGAUGUUGGAUUUUCUUCAAAAAGUGUAACAGUUGUUUCACUAUAACCAAUCAAACUAGCUUUUACCCUUUUUCAAUCUAGGCAUAGAGACCGCCACAGCCAGGCAUCAUUAUGUCUGAUCUAGCGGGGAAUGGGAGGCUAGGCUACUCUAAUUAUGGUUAGGAAUGUCCUGUUUAAUAUGAAUCUCUGUGCCGUUUACAGCUGCAUGCCACUCACUGAGACUACCGCCAAUCUUGCCUCACUAUGAAUUACUCUGUGCCUGCUCAAUCCAUUGACAUCUGAUUCAGUUUUAAAUUGUGUGGUUAUUUGUAGUGGGGUAUCGGUGGGUUGGUGCUGAAUGUGACUCAGUUGUGGCAUGAAUAAUUGAGUCUGACGAUGAAGAGCUACACUCCACAGAUCCUGAGGGUAAGGACAAGAGCAAAGACAAGAAGAUACUGUGCAAAGUCAAAUGGUCUUGUGACGAGGAUGAGAGGCUGAAGAAUUUGUGAGAGCACAUGGAACAGACUCCUGGGAAUUAGUAGCUAAUCAUUUCCCAGUAAUGGUACAAACUGUGACACACUGUUAGAAUGGUGUUCUGAGGGAAAAUGGCGGGGAUGCAA